AAGUGUAAAAUUAGUAUUGAAACGAAUUCUAAAAAUAGCAAUUUUAAAAAAUAUUUAUUAAUAACUAGUAUAAUUUUUUGAUAGCAAUAUAUUUUUUUUUGAAAUUCUAAAGAGAAGAUAAUUGUAAUAGGUUAUAUGUCUAUAAUGACAUAGAUAUACUUGCGCCAUAACAUAUUUUAUAACCAUAUAACCUAUUACAAUUAUCUUCUCUUUAGAAUUUCAGAAAAAUAUAUUGCUAUCAAAUAAUUACUUUAGUUAUUAAUAAAUAUUUUUUAAAAAUUGCUAUUUUUACAAUUCAUGUCAAUACUAAUUUUACACUUCCUUUGUUAAUUAAAUAUUUUUAGUAUCAUGUUCAUCAUCAAACACUCUCUUAAAAAUAUUAUCAAAUAAAUUUUUACAAUUCUCU
rnacentral:lncRNA from 1 species